ACUCUUUCGGGAGUGUGUUAUAGACUCGAGUCGAAUGCGAUGGUUGGGACUGAGGAACUCAGCACGACCUUAGGGUUCGGGACUUCGGUCCACGUUUGCGUGCUUAGGAUGCUGGCAUAAUGGCCUUAAGCGACCCGUCUUGAAACACGGACCAAGGAGUCUAGCAUAUAUGCGAGUGUUAAACACUCGCACACAUGUUAGAACCCUUCUGCA
rnacentral:rRNA from 1 species